rnacentral:lncRNA from 1 species
AUUGGUUUGGAAACUGGCAGUGGAAGGUUAGAGUGAGCAAUUGAUGUGUAAACCAAGUGUCAGUAAAAUCAGAUGAGAUAAGUGGGAUUUUAAAGCAAGUGAGCCCUGAUCAGCAAUGACCAAGGAGAAACAGCAGCUGAGGCAGAGUGGGGGAGGGGGCGUAUUGCCAAUAAAUGAGGCAGUGUAUAAUUGUCAGUAAUGAUUGGAAUCAAGGAAAACGGGAUGGAAGAAUCAGCUAAAUAAGAACGUUUUAUCCAUAGUUACAUGACCAACUUAAACAUUAAAAAUAAAUCAUCUUCUAGAGAAUUUUUAAAAAACAAAAGUACUGUUAUCAUGUGUAAACUAAGUUAUCCGUUUGUUCCCUGUUGUUCUUAGUGCCCCUUUGUCAGUCCAGCAACUGGAAGUUUAGUAGCCUCAGUGUCACUGACGGUUUGAAGCAGGACUCGAGCAGGAGUUUUACAGCUUUUUGGUUUUCUUAAAACUUUCUUCACUGGUUUUGAUCUGCAUUCUUUUUGAUAGCUCAGAAGUUUAUUGUUAAAAACAUCAGCACAACACAUUUUUUAUGGAAUGAAAAGGCUCUUCCACACUUCGUGCUAAUAAAAUUGAAGGCAAGUUAAUUCUGUGCGUGUGUUUGGGAAAAAUGAAGAGCUCACAUGCUGUUCAUCUGGCGCACAAAUGUGCAGUGCCAUUUCUUUAUAUAAAUAGAUUCUCUUUGUUUUAUAGACUCUGUGUCAAAAUUUAUUUAUUUGUUUUCUUUAUCUUAAAACAGUUUGCACCUUAAAAACAAAAUGUCCUAUUUUUAUUAUGAAAAUUAUAUAGGCUUAUUGUUGAAAAAUCUAGGAAAUACGGAAACACAAAAAUGGCAAACUCAGUCCCCUUUAGUCCCACUACUUGAAAUUAGCUGAUGUUAAGCUCCUGAGGUAGAGCCUUCUACUCUCUUUUUUUAUCCACAUAUAAUUUUUACAGAUGUAUUAUACAUAAUGUUUUCUUCAUUUAAUUUAUUAGGAACCAAUAGUUACUUUUCUUACUCAGAAUGUAAGCACAGAUUUUUGUCAUUCUUACUUUUUCUCUCUUUCCCUUCUCAUAUAUUCCUGUUAUUCUUUUCAACUUUAAAAAUGAUCUCACUUCUCCAUUCAUUUUAUCAAAACAGUUAUGUAUUUGGUGUAUAUUUAGCAUCUAAGUUGCUAAAGUCAUAGAACAAUCUGGGUGUUAAAGUCAGCAUUUAAGAAAUGAAGUUACUUCUCUAUCCUAAGAAGAAUCUUUGGUAUAGUUAAGUUCAAGUUGAGAUGGGGUUUCAACUUUUAGGAGGAGAUCUUAAGCAUCUUUGUUGUUAUGUUUGGACUCUGGAGAAAACAGAUGAAGAUUCAUC